AGAGUUUGAUCCUGGCUCAGAACGAACGCUGGCGGCAGGCCUAAUACAUGCAAGUCGAACGCCCCGCAAGGGGAGUGGCAGACGGGUGAGUAACACGUGGGAACAUACCCUUUGGUUCGGAAUAACUCAGGGAAACUUGAGCUAAUACCGGAUAAGUCCGCAAGGAGAAAGAUUUAUCGCCGAAGGAUUGGCCCGCGUCUGAUUAGCUUGUUGGUGAGGUAAUGGCUCACCAAGGCGACGAUCAGUAGCUGGUCUGAGAGGAUGAUCAGCCACACUGGGACUGAGACACGGCCCAGACUCCUACGGGAGGCAGCAGUAGGGAAUAUUGGACAAUGGGCGAAAGCCUGAUCCAGCCAUGCCGCGUGAGUGAUGAAGGCCUUAGGGUUGUAAAGCUCUUUUACCCGGGAAGAUAAUGACGGUACCGGGAGAAUAAGCCCCGGCUAACUUCGUGCCAGCAGCCGCGGUAAUACGAAGGGGGCUAGCGUUGUUCGGAAUCACUGGGCGUAAAGCGCACGUAGGCGGAUCUUUAAGUCAGGGGUGAAAUCCCGGGGCUCAACCUCGGAACUGCCUUUGAUACUGGGGAUCUCGAGUUCGGGAGAGGUGAGUGGAACUGCGAGUGUAGAGGUGAAAUUCGUAGAUAUUCGCAAGAACACCAGUGGCGAAGGCGGCUCACUGGCCCGAUACUGACGCUGAGGUGCGAAAGCGUGGGAGCAAACAGGAUUAGAUACCCUAGUAGUCC
rnacentral:rRNA from 1 species